rnacentral:rRNA from 1 species
GGGGAAUAUUGGACAAUGGGGGCAACCCUGAUCCAGCAAUGCCGCGUGAGUGAUGAAGGCCUUCGGGUUGUAAAGCUCUUUUGUCAGGGACGAUAAUGACGGUACCUGACGAAUAAGCUCCGGCUAACUUCGUGCCAGCAGCCGCGGUAAUACGAAGGGAGCUAGCGUUGUUCGGAAUUACUGGGCGUAAAGGGCGCGUAGGCGGUCUUAUAAGUUUGGUGUGAAAGCCCUGGGCUUAACCUAGGAAUAGCAUUGGAUACUGUAAGACUUGAGACCGAGAGAGGGAAAUGGAAUUGCGAGUGUAGAGGUGAAAUUCGUAGAUAUUCGCAAGAACACCAGUGGCGAAGGCGAUUUCCUGGCUCGGUACUGACGCUAAGGCGCGAAAGCGUGGGGAGCAAACAGGA